rnacentral:misc_RNA from 1 species
GAACUGCGAUAAGUAAUGUGAAUUGCAGAAUUCAGUGAAUCAUCGAGUCUUUGAACGCACAUUGCGCCCCCUGGCAUUCCGGGGGGCAUGCCUGUCCGAGCGUCAUUGCGCCCUUCAAGCCCGGCUUGUGUGUUGGGUCGUCGUCCCCUCCGGGGGACGGGCCCGAAAGGCAGCGGCGGCACCGCGUCCGGUCCUCGAGCGUAUGGGGCUUUGUCACCCGCUCGAUAAGGACCGGCCGGGCGCCAGCCGGCGUCUCCAACCUUUUUUUCUCAGGUUGACCUCGGAUCAGGUAGGGAUACCCGCUGAACUUAAGC